rnacentral:rRNA from 1 species
UCUGUAAGCCUGCGAAGGUGUGCUGUGAGGCAUGCUGGAGGUAUCAGAAGUGCGAAUGCUGACAUAAGUAACGAUAAAGCGGGUGAAAAGCCCGCUCGCCGGAAGACCAAGGGUUCCUGUCCAACGUUAAUCGGGGCAGGGUGAGUCGACCCCUAAGGCGAGGCCGAAAGGCGUAGUCGAUGGGAAACAGGUUAAUAUUCCUGUACUUGGUGUUACUGCGAAGGGGGGACGGAGAAGGCUAUGUUGGCCGGGCGACGGUUGUCCCGGUUUAAGCGUGUAGGCUGGUUUUCCAGGCAAAUCCGGAAAAUCAAGGCUGAGGCGUGAUGACGAGGCACUACGGUGCUGAAGCAACAAAUGCCCUGCUUCCAGGAAAAGCCUCUAAGCAUCAGGUAACAUCAAAUCGUACCCCAAACCGACACAGGUGGUCAGGUAGAGAAUACCAAGGCGCUUGAGAGAACUCGGGUGAAGGAACUAGGCAAAAUGGUGCCGUAACUUCGGGAGAA